GACGAACGCUGGCGGCGUGCCUAAUACAUGCAAGUAGAACGCUGAAGGAGGAGCUUGCUUCUCUGGAUGAGUUGCGAACGGGUGAGUAACGCGUAGGUAACCUGCCUGGUAGCGGGGGAUAACUAUUGGAAACGAUAGCUAAUACCGCAUAAUAGCAGUUGUUGCAUGACAACUGUUUGAAAGGUGCAAUUGCACCACUACCAGAUGGACCUGCGUUGUAUUAGCUAGUUGGUGGGGUAACGGCUCACCAAGGCGACGAUACAUAGCCGACCUGAGAGGGUGAUCGGCCACACUGGGACUGAGACACGGCCCAGACUCCUACGGGAGGCAGCAGUAGGGAAUCUUCGGCAAUGGACGGAAGUCUGACCGAGCAACGCCGCGUGAGCGAAGAAGGUUUUCGGAUCGUAAAGCUCUGUUGUAAGAGAAGAACGAGUGUGAGAGUGGAAAGUUCACACUGUGACGGUAUCUUACCAGAAAGGGACGGCUAACUACGUG
rnacentral:rRNA from 1 species